ensembl:lncRNA
UAGCCUUGAUGAAUUAACAGUCUGCCUUCUAGCCACUUUUUCAAAACAGAGUGAGUUCCUAGUUUUUGUAUACUUUCUCCCAGAUCCCAAUCCAUAGCCAUGAAAAUCAUCUCCUUCAGGAGAAGAGCCCUGAAAAUAGAAGGAAGUUUAACAGUUAAAACAUUACUAGUAGAAAUGCUUAUCUGCACCUAUACCUGUCUUCUCCUUUCUGUUGUUCUAGCAAUGGAACUCAGCAGUCUGGCUGUUAGUGCAUGUUUCUCUUAAGAACUAAUGCUUACUGAUGCUAAAGACAAAUACAUACUUCUGCAAAUGUCUUGUUCUGGAAUCUUUUCCAUAAUGUCAUUAGAUGUGCUAAUGUUUGACGCCUUUUUUUUCCCACAGCUCCAGCUUUCUCUUUAAUAUAUAUUGGUGGAAGUGUAGAAAUUACUAAUCUGACUUACACAAAUGAUCUCAGUGAUCCCAGCUCCCAGAAAUUCCUCCUGCAAGCAGAGGCAAUCCAAAAUUAUCUUGCAGAAUCCUAUGAGUGUUCCACCUUGGGAAAGUAUUAUUUGAAGUCCAUAGUGGCUGCUUUCAGUGAAGGAGAGUACGGACUUCGAGCUUACUACUGGAAUACAUUUUGGGCACCACUGGAUAUUACUGAUUCUCUUAAAAAGUUAACCCCCUUGGAACAAAAAGAAAUGAGUAGUAAACAAAUCCCUCAUAUGUUCAGUACUUCUGGGGAAGAAGAUUUUGAUCUUGUUACAAUGGAGCUUUUUGGUAACAAUGUACCUGUCAUUUAAUAUCUAUUCUGUCUAUUUUUCUUUCCCUCGAUUUCAUCUUUGGUUCGUGUAACUGAUAGCUACUGAAUUUCAGUUUCAGAUUCUACAGAAUACGAUGUGAUGCUAAAAUCAGGUAAUUAUUCUUCAAUCUCAUAUUACUCAUAUUACUUUAGGGAAAAAAAGAAGAAACAACAGAAAAACAACCUAUAAUAGGAAAAUGGCAGUUUCUCAGUUAUCCUUAUAUCUGUGGGGCUUAUGAAUCAAACCAAACUAGAGAUCUUCCCUGGCUUGAAAAUAGCUUACAGGUUUUCUUAUGGUGUUCUGAGCAGCAUGGCUGAAAUUGAAUACUCUGCACUGAACUGAAUUGAACUGUGGGUCCUUGGCAUCUUAAAAAAAAAAAAAAAAAAAAAAAGCUACUGCAUAUAGCUAAACAGAGUUUAUUUUCCUUGUGACUAGUUUAUUCAUAGUUAGUGAUCAUUCAAAUUCUGUAGAACUUUAGUUAACUUUUCUUGGGUUUUCCGUAACAUGUGUGUCUCAGGAUUGGCUUCCUAUACUUAGUGUUCUCAUUGCAUGAAGGCAGGUCAAGAAAUGGCAAAGGAAGAGGUAGGUUUCUGGCAGAGAUUCUAGCUGUUGCAGACAAGUCGCCUCCUGCUUGCUGAGUGUGCGAUGAGCCAGUGGUGAUGGUGAAGCACUGUGCUUCUUUGUCCAGAGCAGAAGGAGAAGGUGAUACAGCCUGGAAGGGAAAGGGGUAGAUUUGUGAAAAUAAGUCAAGAGGAGAUUAAAAUAA